GGUAUACUAUAAGUGAAAGAAUUGCGAGGGUCGCAAGGCCCUCAUUAUGCCCUAGUUGACUUUCCCUCCUAGUCGCUAGGGUGUUUUU
rfam:Geobacter metallireducens GS-15, complete genome.